GUUGGAGGCACCUGGUGCAGUUUUUUAUACAUCUUGUACUGGUUGCUGGGUGGCAAGGGUCCGAUAGGAGCUGGAUCUCACCUUCGUAACCUUUAUUCGCGAGGAUCUUCUUGAAACCUGAGUUAAAUACGAGGCAGAUAUGACAUUGCAACAAUGAUGAGGGAAAAGAUGUACCAGCGUGGAACAGAGCGAAGGAAGAAAGAAACGUGAUUAAAUAUAUAUAUUAUAGCACAUAUUGUAAGAAAAUUAUUGUUCAAGAUUAUGGAAUGUACAAUACUUCUUAUUACUAAUAAAGUAUAGAGUGCGUAUUUAUUUUAA